rnacentral:piRNA from 1 species
UGAAUACCUAAAGAGGUGAUGGUAUAUGGUA